rnacentral:misc_RNA from 1 species
UCCGGCUUAACGCCGGCAGUCUCUCUAGAGUGCCCAACUUAAUGGUGGCAACUAAAGACGAGGGUUGCGCUCGUUGCGGGACUUAACCCAACACCUCACGACACGAGCUGACGACAGCCAUGCAGCACCUGUCUCCGGUCCAGCCGAACUGAAGGAGUCCGUCUCUGGUCUCCGCGACCGGGAUGUCAAGGGCUGGUAAGGUUCUUCGCGUUGCUUCGAAUUGAACCACAUGCUCCACCGCUUGUGCGGGCCCCCGUCAAUUCCUUUGAGUUACAGCCUUGCGGUCGUACUCCCCAGGCGGGGCACUUAUCGCAUUUGUUUCGACAGUGACGGCAUCGGACCUCCACUGCCUAGUGCCCAUCGUUUACAGCUAGGACUAC